CUGCUGCCUUCCGUAGGAGUUUGGACCGUGUCUCAGUUCCAAUGUGGGGGGCCUUCCUCUCAGAACCCCUACUGAUCGUCGCCCCGGUGGGCCGUUACCCCGCCGGCAAGCUAAUCAGACGCAUCCCCAUCCUUUACCGGCCGAAGCCUUUGGUCAUGAAAAUAUGCAUCAACAUGACAACAUACGGUAUUAAUCCGCCUUUCGACGGGCUGUCCCAUAGUAAAGGGCAGGUUGGAUACGCGUUACUCACCCGUACCGCCGGUCGCCAUCAG
rnacentral:rRNA from 1 species